rnacentral:rRNA from 1 species
AUACAGAGGGUGCAAACGUUGUUCGGAAUUACUGGGCAUAAAGAGCACGUAGGCGGUCAUGUAAGUGUGGAGUGAAAUCCCACGGCUCACCCGUGGAACUGCUUUGCAUACUGCAUGACUCGAGGACGGUAGGGGAGAGCGGAACUCUUGGAGGAGCGGUGAAAUGCGUAGAUAUCAAGAGGAACACCAAUGGCGAAGGCAGCUCUCUGGUCCGUUUCUGACGCUGAGGUGCGAAAGCUAGGGUAGCGAACGGGAUUAGAAACCCCAGUAGUCC